CUGGUUUAUUAAAUGUGAGGAGUAAAAUGCCUGCAGUAGAAAUAAAACAAUCAGAGUGGUUGAUGCAACAGAGAGAGAGAGAGAAGAGAAGAGAAGAAAAAAAGAAGGACACUGCUCAGAACCAUGUCCCUGUGGAAUCCCAGUGGGCUACUCUGAGAGGCGUCAAGGCAAAUCUCUUAAUCCAGGAUCAUCACUGACUGAUAACUUUCAUUCAGAAAAAUUGGCAAACAUGGGGCUCUAUCGGUG